rnacentral:rRNA from 1 species
GGGGAAUAUUGGGCAAUGGACGCAAGUCUGACCCAGCAACGCCGCGUGAAGGAAGAAGGCUUUCUGGUUGUAAACUUCUUUUAAGGGGGAAGAGUAGAAGACGGUACCCCUUGAAUAAGCCACGGCUAACUACGUGCCAUCAGCCGCGGUAAUACGUAGGUGGCAAGCGUUGUCCGGAUUUACUGGGUGUAAAGGGCGUGUAGCCGGGAAGGUAAGUCAGAUGUGAAAUCUGGGGGCUCAACCUCCAAACUGCAUUUGAAACUACUUUUCUUGAGGAUCGGAGAGGUAAGCGGAAGUGGUGGUGUAGCGGUGAAAUGCGUAGAGAGAAGGAAGAACACCAGUGGCGAAGGCGGAGUACUGGACGAGAACUGACGGUGAGGCGCGAAAGCGUGGGGAGCAAACA